UUUGAUAUUCGAACAAGUGAAUUCAGACAAGGAUUGCAAAGUCAGCGAAAUAGGCUUUGCAAUCUUUGAGACAUAUAGUUUCGAUCUUCAAGGGAACUAAUAACAAUCAAGUCAGCAAAAUAGGCUUGGUUGUUAGAGAAACCAAAAUCCAAUAGUAAUCAAGUCAGCGAAAUAGGCUUGGUUGCUAGAGGAACUUAAGAGAAACUGUCUUGAGAAAUUAGGUCUAACAUAACAUUAUAAGCUUAUGGUUUCGGUUUGAGAAGGACUUGUUAUUUAGAUGAAACCAACGAUCCCAAGGCUCUUUUAUUAUAUUGCUUUCAACCGUUUAAAAACCCCCAAUCUACAAUCUCUUCUCUCUUCUAAUCAUCUCUAAAGGUUAAUUAAAUUGAACUACUCCCUGUCGGAACGAUACUCU
rnacentral:lncRNA from 1 species